rnacentral:rRNA from 1 species
UAGGGAAUCUUCCACGAUGGGCGCAAGCCUGAUGGAGCAACGCCGCGUGAGUGAAGAAGGUCUUCGGAUCGUAAAACUCUGUUGUUAGAGAAGAACAUGCAGGAGAGUAACUGUUCUUGUAUUGACGGUAUCUAACCAGAAAGCCACGGCUAACUACGUGCCAG